CUUUGCAUCCGUUGAGAUGGUUUGCCCCUUGCGGGGCAAUUAAAAGGGAACCGUGUGUGAAUCACGGACAGUCCCGCUGCUGUGUGUGGCAUUGUGGAUAAGUACGAAGUCACUGAAGUUCUCCAUGGCAGAUUAAGGCGCUUACAAUAAGCGGCUUAGUCGGACGUGAGGCCUCGGGAAGACGCUUGUCUUUUAGCUGCGAGCCAGAAGACCUGCCUUUCAAUGCUUUGAUUUC
rnacentral:ncRNA from 23 species